CAGGACUUCCCAACUGAGGUAGAGAUUGCAGCAGUGGACAUCGAGUGUGUAAUAGAAUAUGUACACAAAGUACCCUGUGCUUUGUAAGAGGAACAGGAAGUUCUCUUGGAGACAAGAAAAUUCUCCUAAAAUAAAUUUCACAGUCUAGGGCUGGUGGCAGUGCAGAGCUAGUAAUGCCCCACCUGUUUGAGUCAUCUGAUCUCUGAGUCCCCCAAGUAGAGGAUCUGCUCCUGUCCUAUGACCGAUCUUCAUGGUAGAAGUUAAUGAGGGACUCUGGGCAGGCCUAACAAUAUGGAGUACCAGUGUGUGGUUGCUUCAGUGUUCUUUCUAGGAGAACUCUGAUGAGGUUGUAGGGAGUUAUGAGGAAGUCUCCAUGCCAUGCCAUGUUGAGUUUAGGAGCCAAUGUGCACAGUUAAGAAGGAGCAGGCCUGCUGAGCUUUGAAAGUCUAAUCUGCUGGGACUGGGAACAACUAUGAAUAGAUUGUGAAGCUGUUGGUCAAUGUGUGAAGGACUGAGGUAGCAGACAAACUCCAUUUUGCUAUUUAAACUUGAUUUUAAGGUUUUAUCUUCAUAGUGACUUGCCUGUACCCUUGAGUUCUGGGGAAAAAACAUGAUAUAUUCCUGCCAGUUGGAAAAUACACAUAACAGCCAUGGCCGACUGUAAAUAAUGGGAUGGGCUCAGGAAACAUGAACCAAUUCCAGGUCAUGGUGCUCCUUUUGGAUGGGUGGUCCCUCCUUGUAGUUAGACCAGGUGCUAUAAACCAAUCAGCUUACAGGCCAAUAUUCUGUACCCUCUUACCCAAUCACAUAAUCUUAAAGCUUGAAAAAUCCUCUCUUAUGUUUUUCUUUUUCCCUUUUUAUUUUCUUUUUUAUUUUAUCUUUUAUAAAUCCCAUUACCCAAGGGACCACUCUCCUAUCCUAUUGUAUCAGGAAUGUUUGUGGCCCAAACUGGAACUUCAAUUAAAACUCUCCUGGCAUGCAUCAGAGUUGUGGUCCCUGGUGGUCUCUUUGGGGACCUUGAGAUCUUGGCACAGUUUCAU
rnacentral:lncRNA from 1 species